rnacentral:siRNA from 1 species
GCGGGGAUAGCUCAGUUGG